CCUGCUUUCUUCUCUUGCUAAAAGCAUCAACAUGCCAUCAGUAGAAUCAAACUUUUUACCCAUAAGGCUAUUAAAUUUCUCUCCUAACAUCUAUUUUCUUAACUUACUAGGAUAGUAAUCUGAUUUUUGGAGGGGUGAAAUCACUUCAGGAAGAAGAUGAAAAGUAAAAGGUAAGAAGUCCCAGACCACUGUGAUCCUUCUCUGCUGUAUUCUGACUACUCUGCCUCUGUAGAAUCAUAUCUUUAGAAGCUGGGUGCUUGAAGUGGGCCCUUGUCAGCUCUGUGGAGAAUAUGGAUAGUUUCUUAUGCAGAAAGACAUCUUCUUGCAGAAACAGUCAUGUUUUAGAAGUACUGUGUGUUAUGUGACCUAACAAAUGCAAGUGGAGAGAAGGUGGCACCCCAAAUAUGAUGCAAUAAGAUGAGAAAAGCCAGAAUUGGUCUUUUUUAGUUGAAAUAAAUUAAUUUUCUGUCUCU